CAGUAGCCGCGGGAAUACAGAGGGUGCGAGCGUUAAUCGGAUUUACUGGGCGUAAAGCGUGCGUAGGCGGCUUCUUAAGUCGGAUGUGAAAUCCCUGAGCUUAACUUAGGAAUUGCAUUCGAUACUGGGAAGCUAGAGUAUGGGAGAGGAUGGUAGAAUUCCAGGUGUAGCGGUGAAAUGCGUAGAGAUCUGGAGGAAUACCGAUGGCGAAGGCAGCCAUCUGGCCUAAUACUGACGCUGGGGUACGAAAGCAUGGGGAGCAAACAGGAUUAGAUACCCCUGUAGUCCCUGUCUCUUAUAC
rnacentral:rRNA from 1 species